rnacentral:rRNA from 1 species
UACCAGCACCCCGAGUGGUCGGGACGAUUAUUGGGCCUAAAGCAUCCGUAGCCGGUUCUGCAAGUCCCCCGUUAAAUCCAGCUGCUCAACAGAUGGGCCGCGGAGGAUACUACAGAGCUAGGAGGCAGGAGAGGCAAGCGGUACUCAGUGGGUAGGGGUAAAAUCCGUUGAUCCAUUGAAGACCACCAGUGGCGAAGGCGGCUUGCCAGAAUACGCUCGACGGUGAGGGAUGAAAGCUGGGGGAGCAAACCGG